rnacentral:misc_RNA from 1 species
UCCGGCUUAUCACCGGCAGUCCCCCUAGAGUGCCCAACUAAAUGAUGGCAACUAAAGGCGAGGGUUGCGCUCGUUGCGGGACUUAACCCAACAUCUCACGACACGAGCUGACGACAACCAUGCAUCACCUGUGUACCGACCUUGCGGGGAGCACAUCUCUGCGCUUUUCCGGCACAUGUCAAGCCUUGGUAAGGUUCUUCGCGUUGCAUCGAAUUAAUCCGCAUGCUCCGCCGCUUGUGCGGGCCCCCGUCAAUUCCUUUGUGUUUUAAUCUUGCGACCGUACUCCCCAGGCGGUCUACUUCACGCGUUAGCUGCGUUACCAAGUCAAUGAAGACCCGACAACUAGUAGACAUCGUUUAGGGCGUGGACUAC